GACAGAGGAUGCAAGCGUUAUCCGGAAUGAUUGGGCGUAAAGCGUCUGUAGGUGGCUUUUUAAGUCUGCCGUCAAAUCCCAGGGCUUAACCCUGGACAGGCGGUGGAAACUACCAAGCUGGAGUACGGUAGGGGCGGAGGGAAUUUCCGGUGGAGCGGUGAAAUGCGUAGAGAUCGGAAAGAACACCAACGGCGAAAGCAAUCUGCUGGGCCGACACUGACACUGAGAGACGAAAGCUAGGGGAGCGAAUGGG
rnacentral:rRNA from 1 species